UGGUUUGAAUCCCUCCUCCUCCUCCCUGACUGUGACUGAGGCCACUAGAAUGUUCUGACCCGCCCCCCCCCCCCGUCCCCCCCCAGGGAAAAGACGGCCCCCCCGGACCCAUCGGCCCCGACGGCCCCCGUGGAUACGAAGGCACCAGGGUAAGUUCUGCUGCACACCCAACACCAGGACCACUCGGUAACCAUGGUUACCUAGUGGACUGAUGACGCCGCUAGGUAGCCAUGGUAACCGAGCGGCGUCCUCGGUCUUGAUGUGACCCCCUCGUGUGUGUCCUCCUCAUGGGUCGUCUCCCGUGAUGAACCGCGUUGUGUUCACGGGGAGACUGAUCUUGUUAAGACAUCCCACGUAGUGCUCAGCAGCCCACCGCUAUAGCACUGACUGGAUGACUGUUUCUCACAGGGGGAGGCUGGCCCCCCAGGCCCUCAGGGAGAGAAGGUAAGCCCUCCAGUGGUCUGAAUGAUCCGUAAUCAUCUGCAUCCUCCAGAUUUAAAGCCCAGAUGAGCCCAGAUGCUGACAGGGUGUUCUCUGUGUCUCUGUUGUCUAGGGCGACCGGCUGUCCUUCCAGAGUGAGAAAGGCGACCAGGUGAGUUACACACAGCAGAAAACAAUAAGCAUUCCUUAUUCAUUAUUUCAUAGCACAUGUGAGCACAGGUAUUUCCUACCGUUGAUUCUGUCGAUUUGUGCAAACCAGAGCUACAAACAAAGUAGUCGAUUGGGGAACCUUGGGUUCCCAACAACACUGCAGGGCCGGGGGUACCCAGUGGGGUCAGUGUCGGUGACACUGCAGGGCCGGGGGUCCCCAGUGGGGUCACUGUGGCUGACACUGCAGGGCCGGGGGUCCCCAGUGGGGUCACUGUGGCUGACACUGCAGGGCCGGGGGUCCCCAGUGGGGUCACUGUGGCUGACACUGCAGGGCCGGGGGUCCCCAGUGGGGUCACUGUCGGUGACACUGCAGGGCCGGGGGUCCCCAGUGGGGUCACUGUCGGUGACACUGCAGGGCCGGGGGUCCCCAGUGGGGUCACUGUCGGUGACACUGCAGGGCCGGGGGUCCCCAGUGGGGUCACUGUCGGUGACACUGCAGGGCCGGGGUCCCCAGUGGGGUCACUGUCGGUGACACUGCAGGGCCGGGGGUCCCCAGUGGGGUCACUGUGGCUGACACUGCAGGGCCGGGGGUCCCCAGUGGGGUCACUGUCGGUGACACUGCAGGGCCGGGGUCCCCAGUGGGGUCACUGUCCAGUGUCUCCGACCGACCGAUGGGUGACCCUUCUCUCUGCUGCCUCUGACGGUCGCUCCUCCCUCCCCAGGGGGAACGAGGGUUCCGUGGUCCGCCGGGCCCCCCCGGUCCCCUCGGGGAACGACAGGAGGGAUCUGGAACCACCGAAUACGUCCCUGGAAACCCGGGAGAAAGAGGACCUCGUGGCGAUCAAGGAGAAAAAGGGUACUGCUCGCCAUUCAUUACCGGGGUGAAAGGGGAACCGGGCCCCCCAGGAGCCAGGGUGGGUGGUCCACACUCAGCCCCCUUACUGGAGCAGGCUGCUGUUACUGUUACUGUUACACUGUUACACUGUUACACUGUUACACUGUUACACUGUUACAGCAGGCUGUUACACUGUUACAGCAGGCUGUUACACUGUUAAACUGUUACAGCAGG
rnacentral:lncRNA from 1 species